GGGGAUAUAGCUCAACUGGUAGAGCGUGUAUCUUUGCAUGAAAAUAGCACAGGGUUCGACUCCUUGUAUGGCCA
rnacentral:tRNA from 1 species